GUACAACUUUGAGCGGUGGAUCACUCGGCUCGUGCGUCGAUGAAGAGCGCAGCCAGCUGCGCGAAU
rnacentral:rRNA from 1 species